CUUUUAUCGAAUAUAGACUUUAUAAGGGCUUAAAUGCAAAAUCCCCUAUUUUGUAAAUGGCUCCAUGUUGGAUUUCAUGUUUCAGAUUGGGACCCCAAAAACUCGAACCCAUUAGCCCAAAUCUCCUUCCUCCGUCUUUCCAUUUCUCUUCCCUGAUCAAAGUCCUAAACUCCAUGGCCGACGAUGAAGAGCUUCCACAAACUCCACUGACCUAUCACAUGCUAACCUAUACCAUCGACGGCCGGCCUAAGACCGUCGUCUGACUGUCGGUGAGCUGGCAAUCGAAAGAAAGAUUGACGAGAGUUGGGG
rnacentral:lncRNA from 1 species